rfam:Camelus ferus unplaced genomic scaffold scaffold823, whole genome shotgun sequence.
GAGGGCGUAGCUCAGGGGUAGAGCAUGUGCUUAGCAUGCACGAGGUCCUGGGUUCAAUCCCCAGUACCUUCA